UGACAGUAUCUCAUACACCCCUAGAGGAGCCUGUCCUAGAAUCGAUAACCCACGAUAAACCUCACCUGCCCUUGCACCAGUCAGCCUAUAUACCUCCGUCGCCAGUCCGCCUGUCAACAGCCCCCAAAGCGCAUACAACAGCCAACCGCUCACACGACAGGUCAAGGUGUAGCUAAUGGGCCGAGCAGAGAUGGGCUACAUUUUCUUUAGCUAGAAAAUACCUAAAAUGCCAUGCAAACCGCACACGAGGUGGAUUUAGCAGUAAGGGGGGUAA
rnacentral:rRNA from 1 species